rnacentral:rRNA from 1 species
AACGCGAAGAACCUUACCUGGCCUUGACAUAGAUAGAACUUUCCAGAGACGGAUUGGUGCUAGUUUACUAGAGCUAUCAUACAGGUGCUGCACGGCUGUCGUCAGCUCGUGUCGUGAGAUGUUGGGUUAAGUCCCGCAACGAGCGCAACCCUCGUGUUUAGUUACUAACAGUUCGGCUGAGGACUCUAGACAGACUGCCUGGGCAACCAGGAGGAAGGUGAGGAUGACGUCAAGUCAUCAUGGCCCUUACGGCCAGGGCUACACACGUGCUACAAUGGGGUAUACAAAGAGCAGCAAUACCGCGAGGUGGAGCAAAUCUCAUAAAAUAUCUCCCAGUUCGGAUAGCAGUCUGCAACUCGACUGCUUGAAGUGGAAUCGCUAGUAA